AGCAGAUCCUGUUUGCAACCCAUUGCCUCGAUUACAUCAUCAGUCUCACUGCAGGUGCCAGAGGCAACCAGAGAGAACUACCUCACAGGUUCCCCAGCAACCUACCUCAGUGACCAGCUACUUAUUUUUUUUUUCGACUUUUACAAACUGUUUAUUUUCCGUCAACCUUUUCCAUUUCUAUUUCCAUUUUGUGUGCCUUUGUGGAAGACCAGCUUAAGACCACUCAGUGGUUGUUCCUACCCAUUCAGUGGCCUGAGCAGUGGGAGCUGCAGACCAGUCUUCAGUGGCCGGCUGGGCGCUCCAGUCUUCAGUAGGGAACUGCCGAAUAGGCACCGAGGGCGCCUGCACGCCUUCAGACCAGUCUGCGACUUCCGGCUGAGUAGCAGUGAACUCAGGAGCUGGAGCUGUCCAUUCACCCUGAAAUUCCUCCUUGGUCACAGCCUUUUCAGCAGCGACCUGCUCUUCCUUUUCAAUCUCUUCAGGAUCUCUGUAGAAGUAGAGAUCAGGCAUGACCUCCCAUGGGUCUUCUCGGGAAAUGGUGCCACGCAUGCACAGAACUUCCCUGGCCAGCAUCCACCACAUCAGACCCACUGAGUGAGCUCCCUUGUUGUUGCAAGGGAUGGCAAUGUCCACAUAGCACAGAGGAGAGUCUGUGUUACACAGAGCAAUGGUAGGCAGGUUAACAAAGGACGCCUCUGUAAGAGGCUGGUGGUCAGCCCUGGGAUCAGUAACCACCAGAAGUCUUGGCUCCCGGAAGGCUGCCUGGAUCUGGUUAGUGAAGGUUCCAGGAGUGAAGCAGCCGGCAAUAGGAGUGGCUCCGGUAGCAGCAGCAAAUUUCAGCACAGCUCGCUGGCCAGUAUUCCUGGACGAUAUGACACUGACAUCAGCUGGGUUUUCAAUGGCAACAAUGGCACGAGCUGCCAACAGAAGCUUCUCCCAGGUUCUCUUCAGAUUUAUGGUGUAGAUACCAUCACUUUUCCUUUUGUAGAUGUACUGUUCCAUUUGAAAGUCAAGGUUGGUGCCACCUAAAUGGGUGCCUGCUGCAAGGAAUUUGAGGACAUCCUCCUCCUUCAUUUGCAGGACAUCAAGGGCUCCGGACAUUGUGAAAGUUUCCCUUUAAGUUACGACGGGAACGCAAAACAACGCCGUAUGGACCCUUCCCCGGGUAGCUUGGAAAGGACCCAGCUACUUAAUUUUAAAUUACAAGUAUUUCAUAUACAGAUGUAUAUAUGCCCAUACUUAUAUGAAUAGAUAAAAG
rnacentral:lncRNA from 1 species